GACGAACGCUGGCGGCGCGCCUAACGCAUGCAAGUCAAACGAGAGAGAAGGAGCGUGCUUCUUCGAUCGAGUGGCGAACGGGUGAGUAACGCGUGAGGAACCUGCCUCAAAGAGGGGGACAACAGUUGGAAACGACUGCUAAUACCGCAUAAGCCCACGGGUCGGCAUCGACCUGAGGGAAAAGGAGCAAUCCGCUUUGAGAUGGCCUCGCGUCCGAUUAGCUAGUUGGUGAGGUAACGGCCCACCAAGGCGACGAUCGGUAGCCGGACUGAGAGGUUGAACGGCCACAUUGGGACUGAGACACGGCCCAGACUCCUACGGGAGGCAGCAGUGGGGAAUAUUGCACAAUGGGGGAAACCCUGAUGCAGCGACGCCGGCGUGGAAGAAGAAGGUCUUCGGAGUGUAAACUCCUGUUGUUGAGGAAGAUAAUGACUGUACUCAACAAGGAAGUGACGGCUAACUACGUGCCAGCAGCCGCGGUAAGACGCAGGUCACAAGCGUUGUCAGGAAUUAAUGGGUGUAAAGGGAGCGCAGGCGGGAAGACAAGUUGGAAGUGAAAUCUAUGGGCUCAACCCAUAAACUGCUUUCAUAAUUGUUUUUCUUGAGUAGUGCAGAGGUAGGCGGAAUUCCCGGUGUAGCGGUGGAAUGCGUAGAUAUCGGGAGGAACACCAGUGGCGAAGGCGGCCUACUGGGCACCAACUGACGCUGAGGCUCGAAAGUGUGGGUAGCAAACAGGAUUAGAUACCCUGGUAGUCCACACCGUAAACGAUGAUUACUAGGUGUUGGAGGAUUGACCCCUUCAGUGCCGCAGUUAACACAAUAAGUAAUCCACCUGGGGAGUACGACCGCAAGGUUGAAACUCAAAGGAAUUGACGGGGGCCCGCACAAGCAGUGGAGUAUGUGGUUUAAUUCGACGCAACGCGAAGAACCUUACCAAGUCUUGACAUCCCUUGACGAACAUAGAAAUAUGUUUUCUCUUCGGAGCAAGGAGACAGGUGGUGCAUGGUUGUCGUCAGCUCGUGUCGUGAGAUGUUGGGUUAAGUCCCGCAACGAGCGCAACCCUUAUGGUCAGUUACUACGCAAGAGGACUCUGGCCAGACUGCCGUUGACAAAACGGAGGAAGGUGGGGAUGACGUCAAAUCAUCAUGCCCUUUAUGACUUGGGCUACACACGUACUACAAUGGCGUUAAACAAAGAGAAGCGAGACCGCGAGGUGGAGCAAAACUCAGAAACAACGUCCCAGUUCGGACUGCAGGCUGCAACUCGCCUGCACGAAGUCGGAAUUGCUAGUAAUCGUGGAUCAGCAUGCCACGGUGAAUACGUUCCCGGGCCUU
rnacentral:rRNA from 1 species